ensembl:Mt_tRNA
CAGGACGUGGCUGAGAAAGUUAAGCACCUCCCUUACACCGAGACCACAUCCAUGCAAGUUGGAUCGUCCUGA